ensembl:lncRNA
GUAGUGUCUAAAUGUUCAACAGAAAGCCUGUAGUGUCUAAAUGUUCAACAGAAAGCCUGUAGUGUCUAAAUGUUCAACAGAAAGCCUGUAGUGUCUAGACGUUCAACAGAAAGCCUGUAGUGUCUAGAUGUUCACCUUAUGGGUGUGGGGUGCUGAGGCAGUGACUCUCUCAAGCUCCAAGAGGAAGCUAGGCUAGGGCGAUGGGACCACUGCAGGUUGAAUAUCCAUAUUCUACAGUGCAUAUCCACUCCUCCCACUCUCCACUGCCACCGUCUGUCAGAGGUUUUGAUGUCUUUUUUUUCUAACGCCGCUUUCCCGGCUGUUUCUAUUACACACACACACACACAGAACGUCACACACACGCACAACCACACACAGAGAAUCUGGAGCAGUAGUGAGAGCCUCUUGCUGUGAUAAGUGCCCAAUGUCAGUGCUGGCCUGGAGCAACAGGCCACACAUAGAACAUGUGGCCUCUCUCUCUCUCUACAAACACACACAAGACAUGCCUCGAUUUCAAAUCCAUCUGUGCUGCACUAGGAUAGAGACACUAAUUUCCAUUGGUUGGCGCAGUAUAAAUCAUCGGACAUUGAUCCAAUCACAGGAGAGUGGCGCCACCCCAUUACAUCACCCGCCUCUUAUAGCAACCACUAGCAGCUUUUUGGGGCAGUUAACCUCAAAAUACCCAAAUUAGGUCAGAGGGGGAAGGAGAGACAGCAAAGAUAGAGACACACGGCAGGAGAGGAUAAAAGAAAGGAGACAUCUCCUAUUGCUCUACGUGUCCAUCAGUUGUUUUUCAUCAUCACUGGCUAAUUGCCUGUCGACAAAGGUAGCACUCAGCCCUGCUGUCCCCCAGUUACAUAAGAAAUGGCUCCUGUGGAUAAGGACAGGGGAGAAAGAAAGAAAGAAAGAAAGAAAGAAAGAAAGAAAGAAAGAAAGAAAGAAAGAAAGAAAGAAAGAAAGAAAGAAAGAAAGAAAGAAAGAAAGAAAGAAAGGGAAAGAAAGAAAGAAAGAAAGAAAGAAAGAAAGAAAGAAAGAAAGAAAGAAAGAAAGAAAGAAAGAAAGAAAGAAAGAAAGAAAGAAAGAAAGGAAGGAAGGAAGGAAUGAAGAGAAGGAGAGAUAGAAGGAGAGAUAGAAGGAGAGAUAGAAGGAGAGGGAAACAGACUGAAAUGGUGAAAGUGGGAGACAGGAGAUGCAGGAGACAAAGGGACAGAGACAGAAAGGAGAAGGGGAUGAGAAAUGAGACAGACUGAGACAGAGAGGGAGAGUGUGUGUGACAGCUGUGUGUGAACGAGAUGCCCGGAACCAAGGUGCCCGUCACACACCACCAGGGGGGCACUUUCAGUGAGUGCGCCAUGCAGCCAGACUUGGGGGACAGAAAACAAUGCAACACACGUCACUGCAUCAGGACAAAAUCACAACCUUGUCGGGCCGCAAACAUCCCCUCUCUGUAAUGUCAGUGAAAGGACAGUGACGCAGUGUCCCUUCAACUAGAUAAUACUCAAACCCUCCAAUCCUCUAAACACCAGGAUCUAACCUUCCACAAGUCUAGUUUAACUUUUAACCCUUGACCUUGUCAAAGAGGAGGUCCACUACCAUAUGAGCAACUUUGUACAGCUGUAAUUGAGGCAGGUAGACAAACAGUGCUCUGCUCACUGUUCCAUUAAGUUAAUUGAGUUGUUGAGAAACUCGUACUACAAACAAUCUCGUCGACCAUGAUAAAUGGAUGCACAGAACACUGCAUUAGAAUAGACAGCAUUACCAGACGCAUUCUAGAAAAACCACCUAGCUGUUGUAGUGUCUUUCUACAUAUUGUGAAUUGUUCUGUGUAGAACCAUAAUGUAAAUGUCAGCAUGUUGUGGAUGUCAAGUGGAUCUAUAGCUCUGGCUCAGUGGUGGGUUAACAUUUGUCAUUGGACAGAAUGAAUGGAACUGACCUGACCGUAUGGCCAAUCAGAACACAGGAGGUCAAAGGUUAUAAAUGAAUGCACAGGCGUAAUGGUUCCCCCUGAGUUUAAUUUGUGUCUCAGACUCGUUCAGUCCACUAGUUGUUAGAGGUGUCAUUAUCAAAUAAUUCAGUUGGGUUUUUUUCAAAUCAUGGUGCUAAAAUGUAUGACGCCUCCUCUACUUUUAACCAUCUCUCUGUCCUAAUGGCAGAAAGUCAACAACAAAAAAACUGUUUUAGUUUCCAAAAAGCGAGAUCGGUAAUUGGUCUGAUGUCCUUUCCAAAAGCACCAUGUAGGCCAAGCCUUUUACCUCCAGUCAGAACACUGCUACACUAAAACACUGUUUAAAGGGAAUCGCUGCAUUAGGGUUUUUUGGAGCAGACACACAAAUGCAAGCUUGAUGACCGUGUAUUAUUUUACCACACACACACAGACACACACACAGAGGCUUUCCUGAACAAUCAGUGAGAGCUGAAGAGGUGAGCUGAGCACUAAUUCUGUGCUUUAAUCGGGAAUACAUUUCCUUACACGCGCACGCACACACACACACACAGUAGUUCACUGAGAUAGAGGAUGAGUGAGCAGUGGCUUGUUGUGUAGGGCUGGGAUAUACUGGCGCUCUGAACCAAUGGGACUUCCUGAGUUGUAUGAGUGACAGUCACUCUGACCGAACCAAUUUAAGGUUCCUCAGAUCACCAUGGCAAUGGAAUGAUUUAGAUUUAUUUACAAAAAAAUGCCCUUUUCCUGACAUCGUCUGAAAAAGAAUGGAAAUAAACGUGGAAUUUUGCUUUAGGAGCAGCUAUAACAGGAAAGAAAGAAGUCCGAUAUAAUUACAAAGACAAGAAAACAUUUCCAUUGAGGAUCAUGUCAAUAACAAACUGUAUCACAGUAUCCCCUUUCCAAGUCAAAUAAAACAUUUUUUGUUCACAUUUGUAUUUUUUUCCCAGUAUACUAUAUCACACAGUGAUAACAAAGAAAGGAGAAAUCUACAGCCACGUUAGCUUCGUGCAAAAAACACAUACACUGGCACGCCGCAUAGGCAAAGAUUAAAGCAGAAACAAUGCAUACAAAAAUAUAGAAAAUCUCCAAUGCAACUCAACACCUCACUGAAAACUAGCUUUCUGUCUUUGAACAACAAUUUCUCCACCAAACAGCAUCUCUUUCACCAAAUGGUCACUUCUGGAACAUUCUAUUUGUGUUUUUGUCUUUGAAGGCCUAGACCAUUGGCCUUCCAUAUAGGAAACCAUAGAACCAAAAACAGAAUCCGGUAGCUAUAGUAUGUCAUUAUGACGGUUAGUCAUAAUGAUAUUCAGAAUAAUUAUAAUAACAACAACAUGUUGAAUGAUAGAAAACUAGUACAAUAAAAGCAUAUCAAAUACAUAUUUCCUGUCACUUUUAAGACAUUCCAGCAUUUGCUCAUAACUGUUGGUGACAGGUUACAUACGGUAGUUUGGCAUACUCAGCAAGCCAUGCCCAGAAGGAUGCUAGGGGUCGUGCUCCCCUGUUCAGACGUUGCAUGCAUCAUCCAAUGGUUGUGUGCCACAUCAUCGACUGUGCCGUCAGACACCAGAUUGGUGCAGCAUAUGAUGUGGUUAGCUGAUACGUAAAAUAACUAUCCAGAUUUAGGAAGAUCUGGCACGCGUCAGCAACGCCUGGGAAGAGGAACACGGCUUACAUCUCUUGCAAAAGAGAGGAGGGGUUUCAGGUUUCAGGAUGCAGUGGAACCUGUCCACCAAUGGGAUACAUUGUAUCUGGGUGGUGGCGGGGGAAGGGUGGGGUUAUACAGAACAGCCCAAACUGCAAACCGACGUGCUCAAGACCAGGUCAGCACACAAGUUCAGUUCAGCACUUGCAAACACAUGCAAAGAUAUUUCAUAGUUUUAAGAUUCUGUCUUUCUCUGUCUUUUUUAGUUUUUAGCAGUCUCUCGCUUUCUUGUUGUGUGUGGGUGGAGCACUGAACCCCACUGGCCAAUCCAUGGGCUUCUUACUGAAACCACAGACCAAUUGUUGAGCUUCUUAUUGAAGGCUGUGACAGCCAGUCCAGCUGUCCUGCUUCACAUUGAUAGAAAAGAUUGUUUGGACGCCUCAAGACAAAAAUAUAUUGAUACAUAUCAAAUGGUCAGAGGGCAGGCGGGCAGGCGGGUAGGGGAUUGACAUGAUGCUAUAAGGCAAGGACAGAGGGGUUACACAGCAGUAAGAGUUCAAGUCAUGAAAAAAAACAUGCAGACAGGCUUAACAUAUCAGAGGCCAUGUGAGGGACGGAGAGAUGGACAGGCUUAACAUAUCAGAGGCCAUGUGAGGGACGGAGAGAUGGACAGGCUUAACAUAUCAGAGGCCAUGUGAGGGACGGAGAGAU